AGAGUUUGAUCUGGCUCAGAAUCAACGCUGGCGGCGUGCCUAACACAUGCAAGUCGCACGAGAAAGGGACUUCGGUCCUGAGUAAAGUGGCGCACGGGUGAGUAACACGUGAAUUAUCUACCUUCGAGUGGGGAAUAACUGGGAGAAAUCUCAGCUAAUACCGCAUAAUACCUACGGGUCAAAGCAGCAAUGCGCUUGAAGAGGAGUUCGCGGCAGAUUAGUUAGUUGGCGGGGUAAUGGCCCACCAAGACGAUGAUCUGUAUCCGGCCUGAGAGGGCGCACGGACACACUGGAACUGAAACACGGUCCAGACUCCUACGGGAGGCAGCAGUGGGGAAUUUUGCGCAAUGGGGGAAACCCUGACGCAGCAACGCCGCGUGGAGGAUGAAGUAUCUUGGUACGUAAACUCCUUUCGAUGGGGAAGAUAAUGACGGUACCCAUAGAAGAAGCCCCGGCUAACUUCGUGCCAGCAGCCGCGGUAAUACGAGGGGGGCAAGCGUUGUUCGGAAUUAUUGGGCGUAAAGGGUGCGUAGGCGGUUUGAUAAGUCUGAUGUGAAAUCUCUGGGCUCAACCCAGAGUCUGCAUUAGAAACUGUCGGGCUUGAGUAUGGGAGAGGUGAGUGGAAUUUCCGGUGUAGCGGUGAAAUGCGUAGAUAUCGGAAGGAACACCUGUGGCGAAAGCGGCUCACUGGACCAUAACUGACGCUGAGGCACGAAAGCUAGGGGAGCAAACAGGAUUAGAUACCCUGGUAGUCCUAGCCCUAAACGAUGAUUGCUUGAUGUGGCAGGUACCCAAUCCUGCCGUGUCGAAGCUAACGCGAUAAGCAAUCCGCCUGGGGAGUACGGUCGCAAGGCUGAAACUCAAAGGAAUGACGA
rnacentral:rRNA from 1 species